rnacentral:rRNA from 1 species
AACAAUAGAACGUUAGGCAAACAAAUGAGUUAAUCAUAUAAAAAGACAGUCGUGUCCGAUAAGUAAUUUUUAAGCAAGUCCCAUCAGACUUUAAACCGUCGUCCCGUUGGGAACGACAGCUAAGUGUGUACCCUAAGACAAUUUAUGAGGAUGUUUAUACGUUGCUAUGCGGACAUCUUUUCACUGUGGGUCGUAUGAAAAAGGACCGAAACGGAGGCAUAAACAUUAUGAACCAGUCACAUAAAAUACCAUGAGGGUGGCAGGAAGUUGGCCAACUUUAAAGAGAGCGAAUUCGGCGCACGAUGCCUACUGUGCACAGGAUGGUUGGACGAGCCGGAAUAGAGGAGCAUAGGUCGCUCUUGGUGAGCGUAAUCUAGCUAGGGAAAAGCAGGGGCGUGUAGAGCGGUACCUAAACGACCAGUUCGGGAUAGGCGGUACUGUACGAAGGAGUUCGAGGUUGGGGACGUCGGGUUCAAGGUGUGCGGCCGUAGGGCGCGCGUUGGUAACACUACGACGUUGGGGCGCCCCGCUGCGAGCCGCGUGAGGACCCUGCCUUGUGCGUCCCCCUCCGCCGACGAGUAGCCACAACGGCCGCUACACUACGCCGCGAGCAGCGGGGCGGGCACACCCUUGCGUCGUUGAGCUGGUACCAGCGGCCACGACGGUGCGUAAUUGAGUAGGUACGGCGGCACGACGCUACGUUGGAGCAACCGAGUAACCGUUACACUACGUUAUAGCGGCCGAGCGACUACGACGUACAGCGGUCGCCGCCUCGACGUUACCUCGCGAACAGCCGCCGAAGGACACGAGGGCUACGUCGUGCGAGCGCCCGCCAAGGGACACAACGUAGCGUCGCGAGCGGGCGCUGGAGCCUCAACGGCACGUCACGAGUCACGAGGUAACCUUGUGGCUGCCUCGACGUUACCUCGAAGCAACCGCCGAGGGCACGAGGCUACGUAGCUAGCGGCUGCGAGGGCCACGACGUAGCGUUGUGAGCAGUCGUCGACCUACUUCGCAAACCACGACGAUACCUAAUAAUUGACUAAUUCAUUAGUUUAAUAACAUAGUUAAGAAAUGAAAUUACCUAGUAAAACGUAAUUAGUAAAACGGUUUGCAAUAAGAAAUUAGAAAAAGAAAUCAAAACAAAGUG